AUGUCGGCUUGAGUAACGAAAAUAUAGGUGAGAAUCCUAUACCCCGAAAACCCAAGGUUUCCUCCGGAAGGCUCGUCCGCGGAGGGUAAGUCAGGACCUAAGGCGAGGCUAGGUAGAGUAUACUAAGGGGCGCGAGAUAACUCUCUCUAAGGAACUCGGCAAAAUGACUCCGUAACUUCGGGAGAAGGAGUGCCUUAUUUCUAAGGUUGCAAUAACAAGAUCCAAGCAACUGUUUACCAAAAACACAGGUCUCCGCUAAGUCGUAAGACGAUGUAUGGGGGCUGACGCCUGCCCAGUGCCAGAAGGUUAAAGAAGUUGGUUAGCAUUAGCGAAGCUGAUAACUGAAGCCCUGGUGAACGGCGGCCGUAACAGUAACGGUCCUAAGGUAGCGAAAUUCCUUGUCGGGUAAGUUCCGACCCGCACGAAAGGCGUAAUGAUUUGGAUACUGUCUCGGAGAGGGGCUCGGUGAAAUAGACUUGUCUGUGAAGAUGCGGACUACCUGCACCUGGACAGAAAGACCCUAUGAAGCUUUACUGUAACUUGAGAUUGAAAUUGGACUUUAUUUGCGCAGUAUAGGUGGGAGGCGUUGAGAAUAAUCUUGCGGGAUUGUUGGAGCCAUCAGUGAGAUACCACUCUUGUAAUGUUAGAUUUCUAACUUUGUAUCAUUAUCUGGUCAAAGAACAGUUUCAGGCGGGCAGUUUGACUGGGGCGGUCGCCUCCCAAAGGGUAACGGAGGCGCACAAAGGUUUCCUCUGAACGGGUAGAAAUCGUAUCUAGAGUGUAAAGGCAUAAGGAAGCUUGACUGUGAGACCUACAAGUCGAGCAGGGACGAAAGUCGGUCUUAGUGAUCUGACGGUGCUGAGUGGAAAGGCCGUCACUCAACGGAUAAAAGUUACUCUAGGAUAACAGGCUGAUCUCCCCCAAGAGUUCACGUCGACGGGGAGGUUUGGCACCUCGAUGUCGGCUCAUCGCAUCCUGGGGCGGUAGUCCGUCCCAAGGGUUGGGCUGUUCGCCCAUGAAAGCGGUACGCGAGCUGGGUUCAGAACGUCGUGAGACAGUUCGGUCCAUAUCCGGUGUAGGCGUUAGAAUAUUGAGAGGAGCCUUCUCUAGUACGAGAGGACCGAGAAGGACAUACCUCUGGUGUACCAGUUAUCGUGCCAACGGUAAACGCUGGGUAGCUAUGUAUGGAGUGGAUAACCGCUGAAAGCAUCUAAGUGGGAAGCCCACCUCAAGAUAAGUAUUCUC
rnacentral:rRNA from 1 species